CGUGAGCAGCGCCCUCCGCCCUCCCGCACAGCCAAUUGAGACCUGGAGCCAGCUUAAUCACGCAUUGCUUCCUAGGAAGAGGGGCUAAAAAGGAGGAAUACAAAAGAACCUCACCAUCUCCAUAUCCAUGGAUCAAACUUCAGGCCUCUGCCAGCUCCGAGCUCCUCAUCCCUCAUCCCUGUCUCCUUGCUGUCUGAAUUGCUGGAAUGAAGAUCCCCACUUUUGCAUGCUCAGGAGAGCUGCAACACUCAAAGUGACAGCAGGGAGCUGCAAAUUCUUGAAGGAAUGAGAGAUGCUGUGGAGAAUGGAG